rnacentral:rRNA from 1 species
UGGGGAAUUUUGGACAAUGGGCGAAAGCCUGAUCCAGCAAUGCCGCGUGUGUGAAGAAGGCCUUCGGGUUGUAAAGCACUUUUGUCCGGAAAGAAAUCCUUGGCUCUAAUACAGUCGGGGGAUGACGGUACCGGAAGAAUAAGCACCGGCUAACUACGUGCCAGCAGCCGCGGUAAUACGUAGGGUGCAAGCGUUAAUCGGAAUUACUGGGCGUAAAGCGUGCGCAGGCGGUUUGCUAAAACCGAUGUGAAAUCCCCGGGCUCAACCUGGGAACUGCAUUGGUGACUGGCAGGCUAGAGUAUGGCAGAGGGGGGUAGAAUUCCACGUGCAGCAGUGAAAUGCGUAGAGAUGUGGAGGAAUACCGAUGGCGAAGGCAGCCCCCUGGGCCAAUACUGACGCUCAUGCACGAAAGCGUGGGGAGCAAACAGGAUUAGAUACCCUGGUAGUCCACGCCCUAAACGAUGUCAACUAGUUGUUGGGGAUUCAUUUCCUUAGUAACGUAGCUAACGCGUGAAGUUGACCGCCUGGGGAGUACGGUCGCAAGAUUAAAACUCAAAUGAAUUGACGGGGUCAUAGCUGUUUCCU